rnacentral:tRNA from 1 species
GGGGGUAGUCCGGCAGGUCGAGGGGCCCGGUUCGAGGCCGGGUAGUGCCGAGAGGCACCGGAGGUUCAAAUCCUCCUGCCCCCG